GUGGGGAACCUUGCGCAAUGGGCGAAAGCCUGACGCAGCCAUGCCGCGUGAAUGAUGAAGGUCUUAGGAUUGUAAAAUUCUUUCACCGGGGACGAUAAUGACGGUACCCGGAGAAGAAGCCCCGGCUAACUUCGUGCCAGCAGCCGCGGUAAUACGAAGGGGGCUAGCGUUGCUCGGAAUUACUGGGCGUAAAGGGCGCGUAGGCGGACAGUUUAGUCAGAGGUGAAAGCCCAGGGCUCAACCUUGGAAUUGCCUUUGAUACUGGCUGUCUUGAGUACGGGAGAGGUGAGUGGAACUCCGAGUGUAGAGGUGAAAUUCGUAGAUAUUCGGAAGAACACCAGUGGCGAAGGCGACUCACUGGCCCGUUACUGACGCUGAGGCGCGAAAGCGUGGGGAGCAAACAGGAUUAGAUACCCUGGUAGUCC
rnacentral:rRNA from 1 species